CAUACCAACUUGGUCUGGAUGAUCCAUCAAAAAUCCGACUUACACUGCAUAACUGCUACUCUCAGCAGCCUGAACCUCAACCCAUCAAAUUUAGAGGGGUGGAUCAUCUGUCUGACAUGCUUGUCCAUUUGUCCCUAAGUUCUGAUAUACUGUACUAUGAAGUACUCGACAUACCAUUACCUGAACUGCAAGGUUUAAAAACUCUGAAAGUUGCAUUUCAUCAUGCC